UUGACCUCGGAUCAGGUAGGGUUACCCGCUGAAC
rnacentral:rRNA from 1 species